rnacentral:rRNA from 1 species
GUAGUCCACGCCGUAAACGAUGGGUACUAGGUGUUGCGGGAAUUGACCCCUGCAGUGCCGAAGCUAACGCAAUAAGUACCCCGCCUGGGAAGUACGGUCGCAAGAUUAAAACUCAAAGGAAUUGACGGGGGCCCGCACAAGCGGUGGAGCAUGUGGUUUAAUUCGAUGCAACGCGAAGAACCUUACCUGGAUUUGAAAGUCUCGGACAACCCUAGAGAUAGGGCUUUCCCUUCGGGGACCGGGAACUAGGUGCUGCAUGGCUGUCGUCAGCUCGUAUCGUGAGAUGUCGGGUUAAGUCCCUUAACGAGCGCAACCCUUAUCCUUAGUUGCCAUCAUUUAGUUGGGCACUCCAAGGAGACUGCCCGUGUUAAGCGGGA